rnacentral:lncRNA from 1 species
AUGGACCCGAGGGGGAGGUGUCAGACCAGGCCCUGAAUGCCAGGCUGAGAGGGGUGGGGCUGUCUCUCCUUGGUUGGGAGGCCAGCAGGAGAGGGCCCUGGGGGCCUUUAGAAUAACUCCCUCCAACCUCCGUAUGCACAAAGGGGGUCAUCUUAGACACGAUGGGGGGAGAAUGACUCCCCUCCCCAGACCAGGGCGGUGGAGGGGCGGUGUUUGUUCCUGAGCCCGGCUGGAAACUGAGGCACGAGGAAGUCCCGGGAUUUGCCCAAGGCCCCCAGCUGGGGUCUCCUCUCGACUUGUCGUGAUGGAUCUUUUUUCCUGGAAGUUUUCACUCAGUCCCCUUCGCUCCCACCAGACCGUGAGCUCCGGGGUCGGCCCAGUGGUCCCAGCACCCAGCCUGGCGCAUAGGAGGGACGUAGUAACUGGGUGAACGGAUGGAUGGAUGGACGGAUGGAUGGACGGACGGACCUCCCUACCUUUCUUCUUCUUGUCGCCAGGAGAGAAAGGAAGGAAAUUUCAAACAACUCUGAGCCGUAGCUCAGCCUGGAGCUGCGGCAACCCCAGCCUCCCUGGCGGGGAGCAUCGACCCAUGGCGGGCGGGCGGGUGCGGCUGCUUUGUGGAGGUGGAGGGCGCUGGGGGACCUGCGCCAACCUGCUUCACGGCGUCCAGACCCCCCUCCACCUCCACCCCGCUCCCGGCAGCUCUGCAGAGCCCGGGUGUCAGCAGCCAGUGGGGGGCUGCGCAGGGAAGGGGUUGGGGGGGGUGGAGCUGUGCAGCCUCUGCAGCAGCCGGCACGGAGAGGCCCUCUUGACGCACAAAAGCAGGAAAGGCACAUUAAGCCCAUUAUCAAUAUUUUGCCUGGAAAAAAUACAAAAAGCAUUUUCGCCUCUGAAAAAUUAAUAACCUGGAAGGGGGGGAGGCUGGGGGUGAUGUCUGGCAAGUGGGGGGCGGGGGAGGCUCCUCUGCCCCCAGUGGGUGCCUGGGUCCCUCUGAGAAAGCCGCCCCAGCCCACCUGACUCGCUUCGCGCCUCCGC